UACGUAGGGUGCAAGCGUUAAUCGGAAUUACUGGGCGUAAAGCGUGCGCAGGCGGUUCUAUAAGAUAGAUGUGAAAUCCCCGGGCUCAACCUGGGAACUGCAUUUGUGACUGUAGAGCUGGAGUACGGCAGAGGGGGAUGGAAUCCGCGUGUAGCAGUGAAAUGCGUAGAUAUGCGGAGGAACACCGAUGGCGAAGGCAAUCCCCUGGGCCUGUACUGACGCUCAUGCACGAAAGCGUGGGAGCAAACAGG
rnacentral:rRNA from 1 species